rnacentral:rRNA from 1 species
AUUGAACGCUGGCGGCAUGCCUUACACAUGCAAGUCGAGCGGCAGCGCGGGGGCAACCCUGGCGGCGAGCGGCGAACGGGUGAGUAAUGCAUCGGAACGUGUCCUCUUGUGGGGGAUAACCAGUCGAAAGACUGGCUAAUACCGCAUGAGAUCGAGAGAUGAAAGCGGGGGACCGCAAGGCCUCGCGCGAGAGGAGCGGCCGAUGUCGGAUUAGCUAGUUGGCGGGGUAAUGGCCCACCAAGGCGACGAUCCGUAGCUGGUCUGAGAGGACGACCAGCCACACUGGGACUGAGACACGGCCCAGACUCCUACGGGAGGCAGCAGU